UGACCUUUGACCCUGGCAUUAGGUUUGGAUGCAUGGUGCCCAUGGUGGAGGAAGCGUACGGCUCCAGAUCCCACCACACUCUGAGCAGCUCCUCCUGCUGCAUCGCUCUUGAAGCGGAGGAAAUCCAAAGAACUACAGGUAGCGGCGCUCAGACUGUGAAGUGCAUGAAGGGAAGGAGUCGGCGGCUCAGCGCUCAAGGUGUCCAUCCACAGCAACCUUCCACAUGAGUGGGACUCCUCCACCCGCGUUCCAAGUUAGGACCUUGAAUGAAAACUGCCGUCUGCAUGGACCGGUCGGAGAGAAGAGCAGCCACGGUGUCACAGACUAAUUAUGAUGAUGCUCCAUCGCUAAUACCCCUGCUUUGAAUCGUCGUUCCACAGCAUCGGUGGCUGACGAACACUCGAGUCCCGUCAUCCGGAAACCUCCUCCCACUCCAACAAGAUUAAUUGUCAGAAGACUCCAUGUGCAUUCAAGCAGCCAAUGUCGAACGGUCCCAACAAGGACGGCCUCUUCCGACGCUAAACACCAACCUGGCUUCAUUGUCCCAAACCGCACACAUCAAAAAAAAAGGAGCAGAAUAGAAACCGAUGAGGAUAAAACCCGUCCAGAGGCCGCUGACCUGACCUCCUCAGAGACGCAGCCAAAUGUCAGCUAACAAUAAAAAGAUAUAAUACGUCUCACACAAUAUAAAAGCCACGUGAAUGGGCUGCGAGCGUGAAAGGUCACUUAAUAUACAUCCUCACGCCUCAGAAUAGACCUACAUGAGAUAAAUAUGUGAAAACGCAGCCGCUGCGCGUGCGAAGUCGUGCACGCGACGCGUGAAUGUCGUCACAGCUGAUGGUGGCGAGCGGCAGAGGGGCGUUCGCUGACGGCCGGUCCACGGCCUCCAUCACUGCGCCCGCGCUCUCCAUCUCAUCUCCUUCUGCUUGUUCGACAGUCUGUCCACUCGUCAGAGCUGUGUUUUUUUUUCCGCCCUCGACCUUUUCAGAAACGUCGGCUCGCGGCCGCCGAGCGUCAGGUACGAAGCAGUGACAGCCUCUGAGUCAAAGCCUCACCCCUGGUUCUUAUGAAUAAGACUCAACAUUCAUGAGAUUUAUCUCUCUCAACCUUCAUUUGACCACAAUAGGUCCUUCACGGGUAAAUAACGCAUGCCUGUGAGACCCCCCGGGGGGCGCUUUAAUGGCAACAAGCAGCAAACACAACAAAUGAGGAAGCAAAUGCCACUUCCCCUCUGCACCGCCUUCAGACCUGCUUAAUUUGAUCCUGACGUCUCACACGAAGUUUCCAGCGGCUCCGUUCAGCCUGUAGCCAAAUCAAAAAGUUCCACAUCAUUAGCAGCUAAAGGUUGCUAUGCUGUUAAUGAGAGGCCCAAUUAGCCUUUACUAAAACAAAGAGACGAGUUGGGAGAGACUCUGAGGAAUUGUUUCCCUCCUGUAUAGAACGUGUUUACCCGUUGCCAAGCGUCCACGGAGCGAGACGAUGGAGAGAGAGAGAGAGAGAGAGAGAGAGAGAGAGAGAGAGAGAGAGAGAGAGAGAGAGAGAGAGAGAGAGAGAGAGAGAGAGAGAGAGAGAGAGAGAGAGAGAGAGAGAGAGAGAGAGAGGAAUCGAUGCGCUCGAUGCGAGAGUGUUUGUAUUCUAGCCCUUCAACUGUCCAGACAUUUUCAUAUGAAUCGUCAAUAUAUGUUUGUUAGUGGAAAACGGUAGAUAUCAGAUACGCUGUGGUGUUUGGUCUGUGAGGGAACGGCCGCGUGGACGCAUUGACGGCUGCCUCCUCAGAUAAUCACUGAAUAUUGGCAGUUGCUGCUUCUUCCACAUCCACGUGGGCGCAGACGCGACGAGCGGGGGAGACGUCACGGAGCCGAGGAGGUGAACGAGUUCUCGCUUCCUGCACUUGUUCCUGUGGGAAUGUGGAUGAGAUGGGUGCAGCCUGGCCCCUGCUAGCGAUGCAGGUCCAGUACCGUCUUUCACCACCGUGGAGUUCAGAUUACUGCACAAAAAUAGUCAAAUGUUCAAAUAAAUGUUGCUGAACGGAACAUAGUAAUUGGUGUGUGUAUUUCCACUGGUUCCAACGGCGCUCUCUUUCCCAGAAACCGUGCGUUCGGGGCGUUGUGUGUUCCAGGUAUUUGUGUUGGGUCCGACCAUCAGUCACCAGUAAACACAUCACUUGAACGGGGCCAAUGAAAAAGCCACAGCAGGAUGUAAAUAAUAGA